rnacentral:rRNA from 1 species
GUGUCAGCAGCCGCGGUAAUACGUAGGUGACAAGCGUUGUCCGGAUUUAUUGGGCGUAAAGGGCGCGCAGGCGGUUCGUUAAGUCCGAGGUGAAAUUUCCCGGCUCAACUGGGAGGGGUCUUCGGAUACUGGCGGACUUGAGGAGAGCAGAGGUGAGUGGAAUUCUCGGUGUAGUGGUGAAAUGCGUAGAUAUCGAGAGGAACACCAGUGGCGAAGGCGACUCACUGGGCUCCACCUGACGCUGAGGCGCGAAAGCGUGGGGAGCGAACCGGAUUAGAUACCCGGGUAGUCCACGCCGUAAACGAUGGACACUAGGUGUGGGGGGUAUUGACCCCCUCCGUGCCGAAGCCAACGCGAUAAGUGUCCCGCCUGGGGAGUACGGCCGCAAGGCUAAA